GACCUGGAGAAGAUUAAAAGCAAGCCCUUCAGUUUCUAAAGGAAAUAAGACUAAACAGAAUUAGAAUCUUUGAAUUAGAAUUCAAACAAGUUCAAUACACUGAAGAGCUCAGGUUUCAUUUAGGGUCACAGUGAAAUGAUUUAAGUGUUUUGGGCUUCACAUGGUAUUUGAUGAAAUGACACCUCAGUGAGAGCUGCACCAUUAUGUGAGUAACCUUCUAGAAGCUCAGCACAGGGAUAAAAAAGCCACACUGCUGAGAGACACAGCUUCCCCAGAGAGGCCAUUAUUUCUACUGCACUGACUCUCACUGGGUCACUUCUCUACAAAAAAGCUCCCUCAGAUUAACGUCCCAUAGUCCACAGGACUUUAUGUAACUAUUUUUUAGUAACAAAAAGUUAAGCUACCUAAAAAUUCAUGUAUUGCCAUAACUGCCUCUUCUAACUUUAUUUACGUAACAGUCAACAGUAUUCCAUUUUCUAAGCCUCAAAUGAAUACUUGGUACUUAAACGACAAAUUUAAUUUUUAACAAAGUCUUAAUGCGUCUCAUUAGAACACAAAUUGAGCACUUGUCCUUCUGACCUUUAAAAAAAAUUAAUUAAAUUUGAAUUGCCUGAGGAUCACAAGGCCCCAGUAAAUAUUUAUCCCUGUAAGUUCAGUGCUGUUCAUAGUGUUAUUUUUUCUGUCUGAAGCUCUCAGUGUCUCUCCAGUGAAAGUAAAGAGAUCCCUGGUUCAUAGAACCAUCCUGUACAGUUUCACCAUCCCUCUUUAUUACUGCCUACUCUAAGUUACCCCACGGUUUGUAAUUCAGUCCCAGGAAUCCAGCAUCACUCAUAAGAGGUGAUGUAAGGGAAAUGAUGCAAAUUAAAAUCUGAAAUACAUUAAAAAGAUCGAGGAGUCUGUAGAAGAAUCCAUAAUACUGCAUUUGUCAGUGCUUGAUGACUGAAAGGCCAUUAACAGUGACUAGCAAGUCAGUGCCAUGCACCAGCCUGGCUGAGUCAGUUAUUUUUCAUUUGCAACUGCAAAUUCCCCCUCCUCAUUUGCCAGAUCUUCACAACACCCAUAUUUAGUUUGCAAGCUGUGUCUUAAAAUGAGUUUUUAACACUGUCAGUUCUGAUUAACAGCUUCAGGUUUCCCAGUGGUGCAGAAACCCAUCUGUACCAUUCAGCCAAGCCCCACAAAGGAAAUAUUAAAGUAUCUAUUCCUGUGCAGAGUUAAUAGCAUUGCCAGGGUGCAUCUGGUAGACUGUCCAAUUCAAUCCUGGAGACUAAACCCAAGAAAUUCUCGCUCUCCAGCUUCAACUUGGUACUCAGUUCCUAACUUUCAUCAACUGCAGCAGUGGCUCAAUCCAGGAAUUCCUUCUAAAGCCCAAUGAGCAGCAGGAUAUUAGCAAAUAAUUACAUGGAACACAGUGCUCCAAGUUGUGUAAGUGUUAGCAAUCUCUUUGAUGAAGUUUCCAUUUCUUCAUCACAAAGUCUCAGUUCUCUUAUUUCUGCAAGGCAGAUGACUUCUCAUCCUCCCUCCUGCACAUGACCUUGCUGACAUCUCUACAAAGGAAAGCUGGGAGAAGAAAGCAAACUUUGAAGCAGGGAUAGGAAAUUUAGACUGAUUUGUGAUUCCUCACCUGGAAACUACUGACCAUGUUCAUGGCCCUUCCUGGAAACUUCCUUCACCAUCUCCAGUGUCCUUUUUGUAACAGAGUGACCAAAAGGAAGGCAGUGCUUAGAGGACAGACACACCACAGACUUAUAGUGCAAAGAAUACAUUUCCUCCUUCUUUAUCAAAGCAUGUAUUUGCACUAAAAAUCACCUCGCAGCCACGUCUGAAAUGCCACUAUGGCAUUUAACUGGCAAACAUUAAUAACUGAAUAAAGGUCCCACUGAACUACCUGGUGGGAUAUCUUCUCAAAGACAAAGAACUAUGAAGAUGUCUUGUCAAAACCCCACAUGAAAGGAACAUGAUCAUUCAAAAGUUCCUGCCAGCAGCAGUUUUCAUUUGUUUCCUGCAGUCAACUGACAGUCACAAGUGACAAAUGUGACAAACACCCCCAAACUCAUCCCAGUCAACUCUGAGAGCAACCACACAAGAGAGCAGGGAUGGAACAGAGAGCCCUGUCCUCGUCCUUAGCCUACAGAGGAAGGUACCAUGACAAGGUGCAGUCAAAUUUACAGAAUCCUGACCCUCUAAUCCAUCACUGCAGACAACCACUUAAUUUUUGAGAUCAUCUGAGAGAGCUGGGUAGCUGAGCUCCAGUGUUACUCUGCUGCUACAUAAUGUCAAAGUUUAUUACUGACAUUCUGCAAGUCCGCAUAUAAAGUCUGUUCCUCUCCCAUCCAUCAUUACUGGCCUUGUGAAUGCCACAACUUGUUUCAAACUUGGUUCUCUGCAGAGCCUCCAAGGUCCACAGGCUCAUAAGAAGUUUGACAGCAGCAACAACAAAACAAGUUGCAGUCAGGGACCUUCAAACCUUUUUACAUGGCUCCCCAUCCCCAUCCUUAUCCAGAGGCUGGAAAAUCUAUGGUCUACAAAUAAACAAAAGCUGAAAAUCACUCCAAAGCCAUCUUUACAGCAGUAAUUUCCAAUAGCAACUGCAAAGCACAAAUUUUAGCAGAGCUAGAAGAUCUCUGUCAGUCAUGGCCUGAUAGAUUUAUUGGCUGUGAAGGCAGUUCAGAGGGCAGCCACAGUGUGGGUGAAAUCUGACCUCUCUGAUCGCUGUAACCCUGAAAGAGAUCCAGCUAUAAUUAGAACAAUUAUGGCUGAUACCAGAUUAGGAGUCUGCUGCUAUUCUGCCUUCAUGCUGGAGCUGGCCCAGCUUUCACAAGGGUGACCAACAGCCCAUUGUUUCCCAAGUGCAGAAAGCCAAACUGCUCCAAGAACAGGAAGUGUCACAAGCACUCCACCAGAAAGGGGAACUGGAAAGUGCCAGGUUGUGGAUCACAUGAGCAGAAACACCAUUCUGAGAACCUUCCCCUGGGCUUGCAGCAGCACCACAGAUCAGCCUGCAGCUUCAAGGAAAACAUGAUCAACACAGCUGAGAAAAGCUGUCUGUCCCUGCUUUGCAGGAACUCUCUUUGCUACGCUGACUGGUGGAAGUUACUCCAUCCUAAUGAUAGUAAAAGGGUUUUAAAAUCAUGGGGAUUUGGGGAGUUAGAAGGAAAAUUAAGCUUAGUAGGCCCUGGGAAAAUACCCUGGGAAAGUAUAGGCCUUGUACUUGUUAGAACUGCACCUGUGUAGCUAGUACAUGAUAAAUGAUAUAAUUGUUAGAUGUGAUGAUUGUUUAGAAAUUAAAUAUAAUUACUGUUUAAGCAUAAGAAUAAUCAUGAGAAACUGUAGUCAGGGCCUUGAAAAACAUCACGAGAAAGUAAUGGUUGAAUAAGAUCAAUGUAUACAAUAGAACAAUAUAAGUUUAAUAAUUAAUAUGUAAGUUAUAUAACAAUAGAAUAUAAAAUACGUUCAGCUCGAGAGCCAUGUGGGAGUCAGAUUUGGGUCUGCACCCCUGAUUCCAGAGCUCUCAAUAAAAGCACCUGUAUAUAAUGAUAUCCUGUGAUUAGGUGUGUUCCUGAACAGUAACACUAACUUUACAACACUUCUAAAAACAGGCACUCAACUGAGAGUUAGAAACCACAGCUUCCAACUUCAGAGAAAAGUAAGUAUUGCAAUUCAGUUUCCGAUUUUCCACAAAGUGAUUCUGCUAAAUAAAGAAACCUCUCCUUGUACAAGAGCUCUCCACCCUAAUUCUAUACACACGUUAAAGCUGAGAAAUUUAAAUGUAAUAAACAUUCUGAAAGGUGACCGUGCCAACUAAAGUACAUAAUAUACAAUUCAUCCCUUCCUUUGGGGAAAGAGGACAAAUGUUAUCAGCACACAAAUCCAGCCAAAACACGUCUGCAAUGUGCUCUGGCCUCCCAAGAAUGAGGCUCUGGGAUGGACUUUAUUCUCAGAUACACAGACAGGUAGAUAGAGAUGCACACAGAUAUAGAUAUACAGCUAUAUAGAUAUAUACUCAUCUCACCAGCAGUUUUCUACAUUCCUAUGCAGGGAAAAGGCACCCAAGAGGGCCCCAAACUGCACUCCAAGGUAAGUGGCAUGCUGUAAUAUAUUUAACAAGAGAUAAGCC